UACGGAGGGUGCAAACGUUGCUCGGAAUCAUUGGGCGUAAAGCGCACGUAGGCGGACCGCUAAGUCGGAUGUGAAAGCCCUCGGCUUAACCGAGGAAGUGCAUUCGAAACUGGCAGUCUUGAGUAUGGAAGAGGGUCGCGGAAUUCCCGGUGUAGAGGUGAAAUUCGUAGAUAUCGGGAGGAACACCAGUGGCGAAGGCGGCGACCUGGGCCAAUACUGACGCUGAGGUGCGAAAGCGUGGGGAGCAAACAGG
rnacentral:rRNA from 1 species